CCUACGGGCGGCAGCAGUGAGGAAUAUUGGUCAAUGGACGAGAGUCUGAACCAGCCAAGUAGCGUGAAGGAUGACUGCCCUAUGGGUUGUAAACUUCUUUUAUAUGGGAAUAAAACGUUCCACGUGUGGGAUUUUGUAUGUACCAUAUGAAUAAGGAUCGGCUAACUCCGUGCCAGCAGCCGCGGUAAUACGGAGGAUCCGAGCGUUAUCCGGAUUUAUUGGGUUUAAAGGGAGCGGAGGCGGAUUGUUAAGUCAGUUGUGAAAGUUUGCGGCUCAACCGUAAAAUUGCAGUUGAAACUGGCAGUCUUGAGUACAGGAGAGGUGGGCGGAAUGCGUGGUGUAGCGGUGAAAUGCUUAGAUAUCGCGAAGAACUCCGAUUGCGAAGGCAGUUCACUGGACUGCAACUGACACUGAGGCUCGAAAGUGUGGGUAUCAAACAGGAUUAGAUACCCUUGUAGUC
rnacentral:rRNA from 1 species